GACGAACGCUGGCGGCGUGCUUAACACAUGCAAGUCGAACGGAAAGGCCCUGCUUGCAGGGUACUCGAGUGGCGAACGGGUGAGUAACACGUGGGUGAUCUGCCCUGCACUUCGGGAUAAGCCUGGGAAACUGGGUCUAAUACCGGAUAGGAGCCAUUUUUAGUGUGAUGGUUGGAAAGUUUUUUCGGUGUAGGAUGAGCUCGCGGCCUAUCAGCUUGUUGGUGGGGUAAUGGCCUACCAAGGCGGCGACGGGUAGCCGGCCGGAGAGGGUGGACGGCCACAUUGGGACUGAGAUACGGCCCAGACUCCUACGGGAGGCAGCAGUGGGGAAUAUUGCACAAGGGGCGCAAGCCUGAUGCAGCGACGCCGCGGGGGGGAUGACGGCCUUCGGGUUGUAAACUCCUUUCGCUAGGGACGAAGCUUUUUGUGACGGUACCUAGAUAAGAAGCACCGGCUAACUACGUG
rnacentral:rRNA from 1 species